AGUGAACGCUGGCGGCAGGCCUAACACAUGCAAGUCGAGCGGCAGCGGGUUCCCGCGAGGGGAUGCCGGCGAGCGGCGGACGGGUGAGGAACACAUCGGAAUCUGCCUGGUUGUGGGGGAUAACGUAGGGAAACUUACGCUAAUACCGCAUGAGACCCUGAGUCGACGGACUGGGGGUGAAAGUGAGGGACCUUCGGGCCUCACGCGACCAGAUGAGCCGAUGUCGGAUAGCUAGUUGGCGGGUAACGGCCCGCCAAGGCGACGAUCCGUAGCUGGUCUGAGAGGAUGAUCAGCCACACUGGGACUGAGACACGGCCCAGACUCCUACGGGAGGCAGCAGUGGGGGAAUUGUUCGCAAUGGGCGCAAGCCUGACGACGCAA
rnacentral:rRNA from 1 species